rnacentral:lncRNA from 1 species
AUGGUUGUGAUUUAUCAACAUUGUAUGAAAAUUAAUCUCAAAUUUAAAUACAACAAAAAGAAUGUUACAUAUGCAUAUUUAACCCAUUUAAUUGAAUAAGAAAGGGAAAUGAAAAUCUUACAAGCUGUGCUGUUGUAACAGUGGCAGAAUCAGAACCAAGAAAAUGAUUUAAGAGAAGAAGUGAACCAAAAGCAUAACCAAUCCAUCUAGGUAAGUAAGAUUCAUCAAAACCAGAGAGACCCAAUGUGAAGCGAAGAACAGAGAGAUUGAGCUGUUGUUGUUGUUGGGUUGUGUUGGUGGAAUUGUUGGGUGGUUGAAGAUUUGCACGAACUAUUGUUGUUGUGGAUUUUGUGGAACAUAUUUUGGGAAAAACAACGUUGUUGUUACGAGG